GGAUGUAAAGGUGAUGUGACUAUGACAUAUGUUGCCCCAUUGAUCACCAGAGUUGAUUCAGCUGACCUGGCUAGCUGGGGGUGGGGGUGUCCCCGUCCUCCCUCACCGCUACUCAUUCGUCCCUCCCAAAAUAGCUUGCUCAGCCAAAGAGGACAAAUUCCUGGAGGGUGGAGAGGAGCACUUUUACACAAAGGAUAUACAAGUAGUUGUGCUCCCUGGCUGGAACCUCCAAACACACUCUCGGGGUUCAUUUGUAGAACAUAGGAUGGACAGGCUUCCAAGACUCCAGGCACAUCCAAAUGAGGUGCUACAUGUGGCAGACUGCCUUCCUUU
rnacentral:snRNA from 1 species